AACCUUUUGGUUUUGCCAAAAAAAAAACAAAAACAUUUUUUAUUGUCAUUACUCAUUUCAAAUGCACUUGCAAUGAAAAGUUAAACUAACCGAGAUUUGAGAAAGCUACAACUACUUUAUAUUAUUAAACGUUAGUGAUAUCUUGGCAAGACAAAACCAGGCCUAAACAAAAAGCUCAAGCAGUAAGCUAACAAUGACAUUUUAUAUUUGAUAGAAAGUUUUAAUUUGAAAAUAUGUAUUAAAAUUGUACAGACAAUAUGAAUUAAA